UACCAGCUCUCCGAGUUGUAGGGAUGAUUAUUGGGCUUAAAGCGUCCGUAGCUGGCUUAGCAAGUCUCCUGUUAAAUUCAGCGACCUAAUCGUUGAGCCGCGGGAGAUACUAUUAGGCUAGGAGGCGGGAGAGGUCGACGGUACUUUCGGGGUAGGGGUGAAAUCCUAUAAUCCCGGGAGGACCACCAGUGGCGAAGGCUGUCGACUAGAACGCGCUCGACGGUGAGGGACGAAAGCUGGGGGAGCGAACCGGAUUAGAUACCCGGGUAGUCCCAGCUGUAAACUAUGCGGGCUAGGUGUUGGGGUGGCUACGGGCCACUUCAGUGCCGCAGGAAAGCCAUUAAGCCCGCCGCCUGGGGAGUACGGCCGCAAGGCUGAAACUUAAGGAAUUGGCGGGGGAGCACCACAAGGCGUGAAGCUUGCGGUUC
rnacentral:rRNA from 1 species